rnacentral:rRNA from 1 species
UACGGAGGGUGCAAGCGUUAUCCGGAUUCACUGGGUUUAAAGGGUGCGUAGGUGGGCUUGUAAGUCAGUGGUGAAAUCUCCGGGCUUAACCCGGAAACUGCCAUUGAUACUAUAGGUCUUGAAUUAUCUGGAGGUCAGCGGAAUAUGUCAUGUAGCGGUGAAAUGCUUAGAUAUGACAUAGAACACCAAUUGCGAAGGCAGCUGGCUACAGGUAUAUUGACACUGAGGCACGAAAGCGUGGGGGAUCAAACAGG